GGGGGCCCGCAAGCGGUGGAGCAUGUGGUUUAAUUCGAUGCAACGCGAAGAACCUUACCUACUCUUGACAUCCAGCGAACUUAGCAGAGAUGCUUUGGUGCCUUCGGGAACGCUGAGACAGGUGCUGCACGGCUGUCGUCAGCUCGUGUUGUGAAAUGUUGGGUUAAGUCCCGCAACGAGCGCAACCCUUAUCCUUUGUUGCCAGCGAUUCGGUCGGGAACUCAAAGGAGACUGCCGGUGAUAAACCGGAGGAAGGUGGGGAUGACGUCAAGUCAUCAUGGCCCUUACGAGUAGGGCUACACACGUGCUACAAUGGCGCAUACAAAGAGAAGGGACCUCGCGAGAGCAAGCGGACCUCACAAAGUGCGUCGUAGUCCGGAUCGGAGUCUGCAACUCGACUCCGUGAAGUCGGAAUCGCUAGUAAUCGUGGAUCAGAAUGCCACGGUGAAUACGUUCCCGGGCCUUGUACACACC
rnacentral:rRNA from 1 species